UACAGAGGUCUCAAGCGUUGUUCGGAUUCAUUGGGCGUAAAGGGUGCGUAGGCGGCGCGGUAAGUCGGGUGUGAAAUCUCGGAGCUUAACUCCGAAACUGCAUUCGAUACUGCCGUGCUUGAGGACUGGAGAGGAGACUGGAAUUUACGGUGUAGCGGUGAAAUGCGUAGAUAUCAGGAGGAACACCGAUGGCGAAGGCAGCUCGCUGGGACGGUACUGACGCUGAGGCGCGAAAGCGUGGGGAGCAAACAGG
rnacentral:rRNA from 1 species